AACCCGCCAUCGAAUGAGGCAAGACUACCCGCUGAACUUAAGCAUAUCACUAAGCGGAGGAGAAGAAACUAACCAGGAUGCCCCUAGUAAUGGCGAAUGAAGCGGGCUGAGCUCACGCUGCCAAUCUGGAGGCCUCGCGUAUGCAGCGCCCCCCGAAUUGUGGUCUAGAGAGGCGUUAUCGGCCGCGCCCGCCGCUCAAGUCCCUUGGAACAGGGUGUCGGAGAGGGUGAGAAUCCCGUACCGUGGCGGGUUGCGGCCUUACGAUGCGUCCUCGUCGAGUCGGGUUGCUUGGGAUUGCAGCUUGAAUUGGGUGGUAAAUUCCAUCUAAAGCUAAAUACUGGCGAGAGACCGAUAGCGAACAAGUACCGUGAGGGAAAGAUGCAAAGAACUUUGAAAAGAGAGUCAAAGAGUGCUUGAAAUCGGUAGGAGGAAACCCGGAUGGGCCCGGCUUCGGCGCGCCGACUCAGCCUGGGGUUCUCCCCAGGUGCACUUCUGCGCGCCGGGUCAGCCGCGCCUCGGCGCCGCGCCUCAACCCGGGAGCGGGGCUUUACGGCCAGCUCCCGUCCUGGCGCGGCCCGGGGCCCGGCUGACGGAACGGGCCCCUCCGACCCGUCUAGAAACACGGACCAAGGAGUCUGACACGUGUGCGAGUACCCGGGUGGCAAGCCCGCGUGCGGAAUGAAAGUGAAGGGCAUGCCCUGCCAACCGACCUUGACCUGCUGUGAGGGGUUUGAGUGGAGCACACCUGUCGGGACCCGAAAGAUGGUGAACUAUGCCUGGGUAGGGUGAAGCCAGAGGAAACUCUGGUGGAGGCUCGUAGCGAUACUGACGUGCAAAUCGUUCGUCGAAUCUGGGUAUAGGGGCGAAAGACUAAUCGAACCAUCUAGUAGCUGGUUCCCUCCGAAGUUUCCCUCAGGAUAGCUUGAACGCAACGGUUUUGUCAGGUAAAGCGAAUGAUUAGAGGCCUGUGGGCUGAAACAGCUUGCACCUAUUCUCAAACUUUAAAUGGGCAAGAGGCCCGGGAUGCUUGAGUGAUCCCGGGCGGCGAACGGCGCGUUCAAAGUGGGCCAUUUUUGGUAAGCAGAACUGGCGAUGCGGGAUGAACCGAACGCCGCGCUAAGGUACCCAAGUGUCCGCUCAUCAGAUACCACAAAAGGCGUUGGUACCUCCAGACAGCAGGACGGUGGCCAUGGAAGUCGGAACCCGCUAAGGAGUGUGUAACAACUCACCUGCCGAAGGUACUAGCCCUGAAAAUGGAUGGCGCUCAAGCGGACCACCGAUGCGCGGCCGCCGGCGCGAGCGCGAGGCGCCGGCGAGUAGGAGGGCGCGGGGCUCGCGGCGCAGCCUUGGGCGCGAGCCUGGGUGAAGCGGGCCCCGGUGCAGAUCUUGGUGGUAGUAGCAAAUAUUCAAAUGAGAACUUUGAAGACUGAAGUGGAGAAAGGUUCCGUGUGAACAGCAGUUGGACACGGGUGAGCCGACCCUAAGAGACAGGAAAACUCCGCCGAACGCGGCUGGUUCUGUCAGCCCGUCCGUCGAAAGGGAAUCGGGUUAAUAUUCCCGAGCCAGCGCGUGGAUGGUGGGCGGCGACGCGAACGAACCCGGAGACGCCGGCGGGAGCCCUGGGAAGAGUUCUCUUUUCUUCUUAACUGCCUCCUGCCCUGGAAUCGGUUUAGCCGGAGCGAGGGCUACACGGCAGGCAAAGCACCCUAAGUCUUGGGGUGUCCGGCGCGCUCCCGACGGCCCGUGAAAAUCCGGGGGAGCGGUUCGUUCUCACGCCUGGUCGUACUCAUAACCGCAUCAGGUCUCCAAGGUGAACAGCCUCUAGUCGAUAGAGCAAUGUAGGUAAGGGAAGUCGGCAAAAUGGUUCCGCAACCUCGGGAGAAGGAAUGGCUCUGAAGGCUGGGCGCAGGGGUCCUAGGCUCGAGGCCGGCUGGCUGCGCGGGGACUACGGCCUCACGGCUGCGGAUCCCGCGCGGCCGUCCGGCGGACGGCCUAGGAGCGCUCCGGCUCUCCCUGCGCGACGAACAGCCGCUUCAGAACUGGCGCGGACAAGGGGAAUCCGACUGUUUAAUUAAAACAAAGCAUUGCGAUGGCCCGCGAGGGUGCUGACGCAAUGUGAUUUCUGCCCAGUGCUCUGAAUGUCAAAGUGAAGAAAUUCAACCAAGCGCGGGUAAACGGCGGGAGUAACUAUGACUCUCUUAAGGUAGCCAAAUGCCUCGUCAUCCAAUUAGUGACGCGCAUGAAUGGAUUCGUGAGAUUCCCACUGUCCCUAUCUACUGUCUAGCGAAACCACAGCCAAGGGAACGGGCUUGGAAGAAUCAGCGGGGAAAGAAGACCCUGUUGAGCUUGACUCUAGUCUGUUACUGUGGAACGACUUGAUGGGUGUAGAAUAUGCGGGAGGGGCAACCCGACAGUGAAAUACCGCAACCGUCAACGUUGUUUUACUUACUCGGUGGCGCGGAGGGAGGCUCGCCUCACUUCUGGAUCCAAGCCGCUUCGUGCGCGCGAUCCGCGUCGGGGACACUAACAGGUGGGGAGUUUGGCUGGGGCGGCACGUCUGUUAAAAAAUAACGCAGGCGCCCGAUUUUGAGCUCAAUGAGAACAGAAAUCUCAUGUGGACCGAAAGGGGAAAAGCUCGGUUGAUUUUGAUUUUCAGUACGAAUACAAACCGCGAAAGCGUGGCCUAUCGAUCCUCUCGUCUUUGGGAAUUUCAAGCUAGAGGUGUCAGAAAAGUUACCACAGGGAUAACUGGCUUGUGGCUGCCAAGCGUUCAUAGCGACGUAGCUUUUUGAUCCUUCGAUGUCGGCUCUUCCUAUCACUGCCUCGCAGCGGGGGCCAAAUGCAGGAUUGUUCACCCACCAACAGGGAACGUGAGCUGGGUUUAGACCGUCGUGAGACAGGUUAGUUUUACCCUACUGCUGUCUGUUUUUCUACGGUAAUUUGGUUCAGUACGAGAGGAACCACCAAUUCGCAUCAUCGGUAUAGCCGCCGCCGGAAACGGCGAUGCGGCGAAGCUGCCAUGCGCCGGAUUAUAACUGAACGCCUCUAAGUUAGAAUCCAUGCCGGAAGGAAAGCCACCUACCGGCCCGGGGACGCCACGAGCAACGGUAGCACUGCCUGAGCCGCGAGCGACCACAAUUCACGGACCCGGGCCGACGAAUCCCUUGCAGACGACUUG
rnacentral:rRNA from 1 species